CAAAACACAAGAAGUCACAUUCUGAUGCAAGUGGUUCUUCAUCAGGGCAAUCUGCGGCUGUGCCACCCACCGCUUCUUUGGGAUCAUCUAAGCUGAAACCGAAGCCAUCGGAUCAAACCUCUGAGGAAGUCAGCCCUCAACCGAAGCCGUCGGAUCAAACCUCUGAGGAAGUCAGCCCUCAGCCUACAGAUCCGGCUCCGCGGUCCACAAGUAACCCGAAGGAAAGGCCAGCACAAGUCAAUGCACCAACGAGGAAGCGG
rnacentral:lncRNA from 1 species